rnacentral:misc_RNA from 1 species
UCCACCUUGUCGGCGGCAGUUUCCUCUGAGUCCCCGGCCGAACCGCUGGUAACAGAGGAUAAGGGUUGCGCUCGUUGCGGGACUUAACCCAACAUCUCACGACACGAGCUGACGACAGCCAUGCAACACCUGUCUACCUAAGCCCGCUAUUUCUAGCGGACAUGGUUCCUUUCGGUGAUGUCAAGCCCGGGUAAGGUUCUUCGCGUUGCCUCGAAUUAAACCGCAUACUCCACCGCUUGUGCGGGCCCCCGUCAAUUCCUUUGAGUUUCAACCUUGCGGUCGUACUCCCCAGGUGAGGCGCUUAAUGCGUUAGCUACGGCACGGAGGGGGUCGAUACCCCCCACACCUAGCGCCCAACGUUUACAGCCAGGACUAC